rnacentral:rRNA from 1 species
GAUGAACGCUGACAGAAUGCUUAACACAUGCAAGUCAACUUGAAUUUGGGUUUUUAACUUAGGUUUGGGUGGCGGACGGGUGAGUAACGCGUAAAGAACUUGCCUCACAGCUAGGGACAACAUUUGGAAACGAAUGCUAAUACCUAAUAUUAUGAUAAUAGGGCAUCCUAUAAUUAUGAAAGCUAUCAGCGCUGUGAGAGAGCUAUGCGUCCCAUUAGCUAGUUGGAGAGGUAACGGCUCACCAAGGCGAUGAUGGGUAGCCGGCCUGAGAGGGUGAUCGGCCACAAGGGGACUGAGACACGGCCCUUACUCCUACGGGAGGCAGCAGUGGGGAAUAUUGGACAAUGGACCAAGAGUCUGAUCCAGCAAUUCUGUGUGCACGAUGAAGUUUUUCGGAAUGUAAAGUGCUUUCAGUUGGGAAGAAAGAAAUGACGGUACCAACAGAAGAAGUGACGGCUAAAUACGUGCCAGCAGCCGCGGUAAUACGUAUGUCACGAGCGUUAUCCGGAUUUAUUGGGCGUAAAGCGCGUCUAGGUGGUUAUGUAAGUCUGAUGUGAAAAUGCAGGGCUCAACUCUGUAUUGCGUUGGAAACUGUAUAACUAGAGUACUGGAGAGGUAAGCGGAACUACAAGUGUAGAGGUGAAAUUCGUAGAUAUUUGUAGGAAUGCCGAUGGGGAAGCCAGCUUACUGGACAGAUACUGACGCUGGAGCGCGAAAGCGUGGGUAGCAAACAGG